GAUGAACGCUGGCGGCGUGCCUAACACAUGCAAGUCGAGCGAUUCUCUUCGGAGAAGAGCGGCGGACGGGUGAGUAACGCGUGGGUAACCUGCCCUGUACACACGGAUAACAUACCGAAAGGUAUGCUAAUACGAGAUAAUAUGCUUUUAUCGCAUGGUAGAAGUAUCAAAGCUUUUGCGGUACAGGAUGGACCCGCGUCUGAUUAGCUAGUUGGUAAGGUAACGGCUUACCAAGGCGACGAUCAGUAGCCGACCUGAGAGGGUGAUCGGCCACAUUGGAACUGAGACACGGUCCAAACUCCUACGGGAGGCAGCAGUGGGGAAUAUUGCACAAUGGGCGAAAGCCUGAUGCAGCAACGCCGCGUGAGCGAUGAAGG
rnacentral:rRNA from 1 species